rnacentral:tRNA from 1 species
GGUCGCUUAGCUCAGUUGGUUAGAGCGUGGUGCUAAUAGAUUGAAUCCUUGAUACGCCAAGGUCGCGAGUUCGACCCUCGUAGUGACCA